rnacentral:tRNA from 1 species
UUAGUAGAAGCCAAAUAGAGGCACGUCUUUGUUAAUGAUGUUAUUGGAUAUUCCCUACUAUU